AGGUAGCGAAAUUCCUUGUCGGGUAAAUUCCGACCUGCACGAAUGGCGUAACGAAUUCCACACUGUCUCCAAUGCAGACUCAGCGAAACUGAAUUCUCCGUGAAGAUGCGGAGUACCCGCGGUUAGACGGAAAGACCCCGUGCACCUUUACUACAGCUUCGCAGUGGCGUUAGCGACGAUUUGUGUAGGAUAGGCGGGAGACUUUGAAGCCAUGGCGCCAGUCAUGGUGGAGUCAUCCUUGAAAUACCGCCCUGAUCCUUGUUGACGUCUAACCGCGAUCCGUGAACCCGGAUCCGGGACCCUGCGUGGUGGUAGUUUGACUGGGG
rnacentral:rRNA from 1 species